GGGGGUAUGGUCUAGUGGUAUGAUUUCUGUUUUGCAUUCAAAUUUGCCCUACAGAAGGUCCCGCGUUCGAUCCGCGGUGCUUCCA